CCAGAGUGCUAGGAUGCGUGAGCCACCGCGCCCAGCCCAGAUUCCAACUUCCCCUUUGGAAAAUCAGCCGUGGCUUGUCUGCAGUUUGUGUUUUUCCUGGGCACGUCCUCAAAAUCUUGGCUUAAUAAACCUCCAUUGAUUGA